UUUUUGUUUUGUUUUGUUUUGUAUUUUUUUUUUCUCUCAGUUGCCUCUUUAAUAGUUAUUUUCUUUUUCCUUCUCUUCUAUCUGUUUUAACAAGCUGCUGUCUUCCCCCCUCCCUCCCUUCUUUCCAAACAAAACGCAUUGCACAAGACUUACACAUUGCAGUAAAAAACUACUACAACUCAUUCAUUCAUUUAGUGUAAACUGCUAUUUUACCAGUCGUGCAUUUUCUCUCAAAAGAUAAGUAUAUAUACAUACUAUAUAUAUAUAUAUAUAUAUAUAUAUAUAUAUAUAUAUAUAUAGUUUUAUAGAGCCCAGUAUAUGUUUGUCUCUAAACCAAGGGAUUCAUUCAGUCGGGCCUUUUUGCUGACAGCACAUCAUAUGAGAAACAUAUCGAUACAUACUUACAUAUAAAUAUAUAUAUAUAUAUAUAUAUACACAUAUACAUAUAUUAUAAAAUGUUACUCGCAGACACAUGUAUAAUUGUAAAUGUACUUAUUUAAUGAUUAUGAAGGGCAGUGGUGUUGGCAGGAAUGCUGAUAUAAAGUAUUUGACUUAAUAUAUACCUAUCGACCCUUGGUUUUUGGUAUUUUGCUCCCCCCCUCCACCUUUUUAUUUGUUUUAGAUUCUGUUUGGUGUUGACAUUACACUUCUUUUUCUCUCUAGUGUUUCAGCUAUGAGGGCUGGUAAAUUUAUUAGCAGUCAUACAUUGGGUUCAUUCAACUGUCAAUAUCUUUCCUUAACAUAAAAAUGCCUUUAUGUCUAGUCAAACAAAAACAAAAAAAAAUAUUAGUUUACAAAACAACAAACAAAAAAGAAAUAGUUUCAUUGUUGCUGUUGUUGAAAUCCUGCCAGGGUCGACUUUACGUUUCAUCCUUCCAAAAUCAACGGAAUAUGUUCCACUCCUAGUUGAGUCGAUUCAUCCAGCCAUGCCCUCCUCAUCCUAUGCAUCUCUGUGUUUGUAAGAAAUUGUUGAGUGGCGGAAAUGAUGAAGUGCCAGACUAGAUGACUUUAGUUAAUGUGCCUUUAAGUUCUGAGCUCAGAUACUGAGAGGGUGGCUUUGCUUUUCAUCCCUUGGGUUAGGGUCAA